rnacentral:ncRNA from 2 species
CUGAACCGCUAGGGGAGUUUAUACUGAGAGUUCCGCGACCCGCGGAACGACCCUUGGAACCUGAUCCGGGUGAUGCCGGCGGAGGGAAGCGGCGACUCGAACCU